AUUGAACGCUGGCGGCAGGCCUAACACAUGCAAGUCGAACGGCAGCACAGGAGAGCUUGCUCUCUGGGUGGCGAGUGGCGGACGGGUGAGGAACACAUCGGAAUCUACCUUUUCGUGGGGGAUAACGUAGGGAAACUUACGCUAAUACCGCAUACGACCUACGGGUGAAAGUGGGGGACCGCAAGGCCUCACGCGAUUAGAUGAGCCGAUGUCCGAUUAGCUAGUUGGCGGGGUAAUGGCCCACCAAGGCGACGAUCGGUAGCUGGUCUGAGGGGAUGAUCAGCCACACUGGAACUGAGACACGGUGCAGACUCCUACGGGAGGCAGCAGUAGGGAAUAUUGGACAAUGGGCGCAAGCCUGAUCCAGCCAUACCGCGUGGGUGAAGAAGGCCUGCGGGUUGUAAAGCCCUUUUGUUGGGAAAGAAAUCCUAUCGGUUAAUAACCGGUGGGGAUGACGGUACCCAAAGAAUAAGCACCGGCUAACUUCGUGCCAGCCGCCGCAGUAAUAC
rnacentral:rRNA from 1 species